rnacentral:misc_RNA from 1 species
GUUGUGACGAAGCAUUUCUAGAUGCCACUGAUUCCGGUGUAGAGGACAUUCAAAUUUUUGUCUCAGUGAUCAGAGAGGAGAUUCUUGAUGCGACAGGCUGUACUGCUAGUGCUGGUAUUGCUGGGAAUAUGCUUAUGGCGCGUCUUGCUACUAGGAUUGCAAAACCAGAUGGGCAGUGUUACAUCCCUGCUGAGAAGGUGGAGGAGCACCUGCGCGAACUUCCAGUAAAAGCACUUCCUGGAAUCGGUCACGUGUUGGAAGAGAAGUUGAACGGGAGACAAAUCACAACUUGUGGGCAGCUGCGUAUGAUUUCCAAGGAAACUCUCCAGAAGGACUUCGGUUCUAAAACUGGCAGUAUGCUAUGGAACUAUAGUAGAGGGAUAGAUGAUCGGUUGGUUGGCAUGAUACAGGAAAGCAAAUCCAUAGGUGCAGAUGUUAACUGGGGCGUGAGGUUCAAGGAUCAGAAAGAUGUACAAUGUUUUCUGUUAAACCUUUGCAAGGAGGUUUCAUUACGUUUGCAGGGGUGUGGAGUGAUAGGGAGGAAGUUUACCUUAAAGAUAAAGAAAAGAAAGGGCGAUGCAGGGGAGCCAGUAAAGUAUUUGGGCUGUGGUGUUUGUGAUAACUUGAGCCAUUCUGUCACGGUGCCACUGGCUACAGAUAGUGUUGAUGUGCUUGAGAGAAUCGUUUCACAGCUUUUUACGACUUCACACGUGGAUGUGGAGGACAUACGAGGCAUGGGAUUGCAGGUCUCAAAGCUUGAAACUGCAGAUAGUUCCAAGCAAGGCAAAGAGAGAUACUCCAUCAGAUCUUGGCUCACUGCUCCCUCUGCUAAGACCAAUAACCAAAACAGAAGAAGUAGUCAUGAGAAAGGUGCUGAUGCAGCUAACAGUAAAGACAGUGUUGAUGAACGCCAGGCUCAGUUGCAGGGUGAUUGUAGUACACCUUUCAUUGAAAUGACUGCAGUGUCGCCCUCUGGUACUGCUGGAACUCUGCCUCCUAUGAACGAGCUUGAUAUAGGAGUUAUAGAGUCUCUUCCUCCUGAGGUCUAUUCAGAAAUUAACGACAUGUAUAAUGGAAAAUUGGCUCAUUUUAUUAAUGAAAAGAGAAGCAAAGGAAAAGAAAACAUAUCUUCUGUUUGCCCUGUUGCACCUGAUGAAGCUUUUGCCGCUCAUGAGCAUCAGUAUAAUGAAGAGGAAAUCCAAGUGGUCUCUCAUCCUAAUAAGCUUUUUGCUGAUAUGAAAAGUGAGACACUCUCUGAUGCUACUGUACCAAAUAUGGACGUGGUUAUUGAUGCUCCUGUCUCAGGAGGCAUCAGUCUAAUGCCCUCUUCUCUAAGUCAAG